rnacentral:rRNA from 1 species
GACGAACGCUGGCGGCGUGCCUAAUACAUGCAAGUGGGACGCAAGGAAACACACUGUGCUUGCACACCGUGUUUUCUUGAGUCGCGAACGGGUGAGUAACGCGUAGGUAACCUGCCUAUUAGCGGGGGAUAACUAUUGGAAACGAUAGCUAAUACCGCAUAAUAUUAAUUAUUGCAUGAUAAUUGAUUGAAAGAUGCAAGCGCAUCACUAGUAGAUGGACCUGCGUUGUAUUAGCUAGUUGGUAAGGUAAGAGCUUACCAAGGCGACGAUACAUAGCCGACCUGAGAGGGUGAUCGGCCACACUGGGACUGAGACACGGCCCAGACUCCUACGGGAGGCAGCAGUAGGGAAUCUUCGGCAAUGGACGAAAGUCUGACCGAGCAACGCCGCGUGAGUGAAGAAGGUUUUCGGAUCGUAAAGCUCUGUUGUAAGUCAAGAACGUGUGUGAGAGUGGAAAGUUCACACAGUGACGGUAGCUUACCAGAAAGGGACGGCCAACUACGUG